AAAAUUACAAUAAAGGAAAUUGUACAAUUUUGAAAUAUGUUAGGACAUUUAACACGAAAGUACAUCCUUACUAGUAUAUCUUGACCUAUCCAAGCAAAGGAAACAUUGCGGUAAACAGCCCAAACAACAGCAAGUGUUAUGCAGAUAGGUGAAAC